rnacentral:ncRNA from 1 species
GGGGUUGGAGGAACAAUUGUCGAUCAGUCGGUUUCGGAGCGUGCACACUGGUACCCGAAAGAUGGUGAACUAUGCUUGAGCAGAAUGAAGCCAGAGGAAACUCUGGUGGAAGUUCGUAGCGGUGUUGACGUGCAAAUCACUCGUCUGACUUGAGUGUAGGGGCGAAAGACUAAUCGAACCAUCUAGUUGCUGGUUCCUUCCGAAGUUUCCCUCAGGAUAGCUGGCAUUUGUUUGUAACAAUUUUAUCCGGUAGAGCGAAUGAUUAGAGGUGUUGGGAACGCAAUGUUCUCAGCCUAUUCUCAAACUUCGAAUGGGUAAGCAAGGCGAUUUGCUUUGAUUUUACAAUGAAAUCGCCAGUUAGAAUGUAUAAAAUG